rnacentral:rRNA from 1 species
UACGUAGGCAGCGAGCGUUGUUCGGAAUUACUGGGCGUAAAGAGUGUGUAGGCGGUGCUCUAAGUUCGGUGUGAAAUCUCCCGGCUUAACUGGGAGGGUGCGCCGGAAACUGGAGUGCUCGAGCGCGGGAGAGGAAAGCGGAAUUCCUGGUGUAGCGGUGAAAUGCGUAGAUAUCAGGAGGAACACCUGCGGUGUAGACGGCUUUCUGGACCAUUGCUGACGCUGAGACACGAAAGCGUGGGUAGCAAACAGG